AUUGAACGCUGGCGGCAGGCCUAACACAUGCAAGUCGAGCGGAUGAAGGGAGCUUGCUCCUGGAUUCAGCGGCGGACGGGUGAGUAAUGCCUAGGAAUCUGCCUGGUAGUGGGGGAUAACGUCCGGAAACGGGCGCUAAUACCGCAUACGUCCUGAGGGAGAAAGUGGGGGAUCUUCGGACCUCACGCUAUCAGAUGAGCCUAGGUCGGAUUAGCUAGUUGGUGGGGUAAAGGCCUACCGAGGCGACGAUCCGUAACUGGUCUGAGAGGAUGAUCAGUCACACUGGAACUGAGACACGGUCCAGACUCCUACGGGAGGCAGCAGUGGGGAAUAUUGGACAAUGGGCGAAAGCCUGAUCCAGCCAUGCCGCGUGUGUGAAGAAGGUCUUCGGAUUGUAAAGCACUUUAAGUUGGGAGGAAGGGCAGUAAGUUAAUACCUUGCUGUUUUGACGUUACCAACGGAAUAAGCACCGGCUAACUUCGUG
rnacentral:rRNA from 1 species